rnacentral:rRNA from 1 species
GCCACCAUUGAAAGAGUGCGUAAUAGCUCACUGGUCGAGUGACUCUGCGCCGAAAAUGUAACGGGGCUAAACACACCACCGAAGCUAUGGCUUGGAUCGACUUCACUGCUUCUUUGAGGCGGUGUUUACCACAAGGACAUUUUUGUCUGACAAGAGAUUCUAUCUUGGAUGACCAAAUGCUUCCCAGGGGAUAAACACAGGACUUCGAAGCUGGAGUGAAGUCGAUCCAGGGGUAGGGGAGCGUUGUAUAAGGGUUGAAGGUGUACCGUAAGGAGCGCUGGACAUUAUACAAGUGAGAAUGCCGGUAUGAGUAACGAAAAGAUCA